GCAGCACUACAGGUCAAACAAGAGAACCUACCGUGAAUAUCUUAAGCUAAUAAAUAUUGAAAAUUGAUGUGCAACAAUUAUCCCGGAAUUUCAUAGAAGGGAUUGAUGAUCAGAAAAGGUCCAAUAAGAGGUUCAAAUGGCUGACAGAUCCACGUAUCAUGCCAUCAAAAUCCCAGAAAAACUGGGAAGAGAGGAUAAAUGUUGAAUUCACCUACUGUUCUUUUCAUUAGAGAGUACUGUGCGUGACCAGGCAUGAUGAUGACCAAAUAUUGCUGCGGUGCCUUGCAUUUGUAUUCAACGUUGGCGUAUGCACAAGGGCACCCAAAGCAGCUUCUAAAUGGCUGGAUGCGAACCUUCGUUCAUGGAGACAAAUGCAUCCAUGGCAUAAUUUACAUGUCUUUUUGGAGAAGAUGUAAUAUUUUCAUAGAGUAUAUAUAUACUCGCAAUGCAUGCUGCUAAGCCAUUCAACAACUCGUGGAGGAUCGAUUGAGCAAAAACUUUAUCAGCUCAUUUUGAUUCUCCAUUUUUUGAAGGAACAUUGUGCUCACGAUAAUAUUGAUCGCCGAGUCCUGCAUGAUUAUCUUCCAAUAUAGUCGCAAUCUCCAAGGCCAUAUCAAUUGUUCUAGACUCUAAAUUAUAUAUGUGUUCCAACGUUUAGAUUCUUCUUAAGUUCUUUUUAAAUUAAUUCUUGGGUUAAUUGAGGUUAGAGUUUGAGAAUGGUCUCUUGUGUUUUGCUUCUUUUAACAAUUAUUUUGUUAUUAUCAAGGGAAUAAAUGCUUUUUUUUUCUUUAAA